AUUGAACGCUGGCGGCAGGCCUAACACAUGCAAGUCGAGCGGCAGCGGGAAGGUAGCUUGCUACUUUUGCCGGCGAGCGGCGGACGGGUGAGUAAUGCCUGGGAAAUUGCCCAGUCGAGGGGGAUAACAGUUGGAAACGACUGCUAAUACCGCAUACGCCCUACGGGGGAAAGUAGGGGACCUUCGGGCCUUGCGCGAUUGGAUAUGCCCAGGUGGGAUUAGCUAGUUGGUGAGGUAAUGGCUCACCAAGGCGACGAUCCCUAGCUGGUCUGAGAGGAUGAUCAGCCACACUGGAACUGAGACACGGUCCAGACUCCUACGGGAGGCAGCAGUGGGGAAUAUUGCACAAUGGGGGAAACCCUGAUGCAGCCAUGCCGCGUGUGUGAAGAAGGCCUUCGGGUUGUAAAGCACUUUCAGCGAGGAGGAAAGGUUGAUGCCUAAUACGUAUCAACUGUGACGUUACUCGCAGAAGAAGCACCGGCUAACUCCGUGCCAGCCGCCGCAGUAACAC
rnacentral:rRNA from 1 species